GAUAUUGUCCCUAAGAGAACGAGAUGCUCUUUGCAGAAGACAUAGAAGAUUCCUGAAACUGGGAAAGGGGCCUAGAAACCUGGAGAAGAGUGAAGAAGGCAUUUUCCCUCCCCUGCUUAGGCAUCUGCCACCAUAUUCAAUACUUUCUCCAGGGUUCUCAGGUUUCCCAUUGGCUUGGAAUUUGUCAAUUAGUUUUGCUGGCUGGACAGAAAGCCACACGGAUCCUCUUGUCUUGGUCUCCUGACAUUUGGAUUAAAGUCAUUUCCUGAAUCUAUGACAAGACUUGAGAGACCACCAAAGCCCAAGAGGUCUUGUUUCACAAGAGAAUCUUCAGGUGUUUUAGGCCUUUAUGACACACCCCAAGCCCUUCAGAGAG
rnacentral:lncRNA from 1 species